UACGGGGGGGGCAAGCGUUGUUCGGAAUUACUGGGCGUAAAGGGCUCGUAGGCGGCCAACUAAGUCGGAUGUGAAAUCCCCAGGCUCAACUUGGGAACUGCAUCCGAUACUGGAUGGCUUGAAUUCGGGAGAGGGAUGCAGAAUUCCAGGUGUAGCGGUGAAAUGCGUAGAUAUCAGGAGGAACACCAAUGGCGAAGGCAGCUCGCUGGAACGGUACUGACGCUGAGGCGCGAAAGCGUGGGGAGCGAACAGG
rnacentral:rRNA from 1 species